rnacentral:rRNA from 1 species
GACGUAGGAUGCGAGCGUUGUUCGGAAUCACUGGGCGUAAAGCGCACGUAGGCGGAUGUGUCAGUCAGGGGUGAAAUCCCGGAGCUCAACCUCGGAACUGCCUUUGAUACUGCAAGUCUUGAGUCCGAUAGAGGUGAGUGGAAUUCCUAGUGUAGAGGUGAAAUUCGUAGAUAUUAGGAAGAACACCAGUGGCGAAGGGCGGCUCACUGG